rnacentral:rRNA from 1 species
AACGAACGCUGGCGGCAGGCUUAACACAUGCAGGUCGAGCGAGGGCUUCGGCCCUAGCGGCGGACGGGUGAGUAACGCGUGGGAACGUGCCCUUCUCUCUGGAAUAGCCCUGGGAAACCGGGAGUAAUGCCGGAUACGCCCUCGGGGAAUGGCUCCUCGUGGGGAAAGAUUUAUCGGGGAAGGAUCGGCCCGCGUCGGAUAGGUAGUUGGUGGGGUAACGGCCUACCAAGCCGACGAUCCGUAGCUGGUUUGAGAGGAUGAUCAGCCACACUGGGACUGAGACACGGCCCAGACUCCUACGGGAGGCAGCAGUGGGGAAUCUUGGACAAUGGGGGCAACCCUGAUCCAGCCAUGCCGCGUGAGCGAUGAAGGCCUUAGGGUUGUAAAGCUCUUUCAGCGGGGAAGAUAAUGACGGUACCCGCAGAAGAAGCCCCGGCUAACUCCGUG